UCCCCUCAGCCCCAGCAAAGCUCUGCUACUUCAGCUGCUGGACCUUGUGUGUGAGGGGAUUGAAGAGGGGGUUCUGAGGCACGCAGAGUCCCUGUGCAGAGCCCUGGAUGGGGAGCUGGACCUCAGUGAGACCAGGCUGGACGAGACGGCCUGUGGAUCUUUGGCCCUGGUUCUGGAACACUCAGAGGGGCUGUCAGAACUGGACCUCAGCCACUGCCAACUCACAGACCGCCAUCUACAGCCCCUGCUCACCCACCUGCACAAAGUUGAAGUCCUUGACCUGAGUCACAAUGACAUCACUGAUGCUCUGACCGACAGAAUACUCCAACUGGUCUCCACCAACACUUCAAUACGCACCGUACGGCUCUUCAACAACAGAAUCAAGGACAGAAGUCCGUUCCUGACAGACAAGAGGUUUGAGAUCUGGUGAAGCAGCAUCAGGUCCAAGUCCAGACAGGAAGAGAAGAUGGAUGUGGAAGAGGCAGAGGAAGAGAAGAUGGAUGUUGAAGAGGAAGAGAAGAUGGAUGUUGAAGAUGGGUGUAGUAGCUACGAAGCCUCGGCAGGGUGAGACUAGAGGGACUCUUCUGACCAGCAUCUCAUCAACCCUAACCUUGACCCUAACCGUAACCUAAUUUUAACCAAUUCUUAAAUUAAAUAUUGGUUUGCAUGUCAGCCACAUCCCCUUAGUUUUUAGCUGACCUCAUCAUGAUGACAGAAGUAUGACCAGUGAUGUCAUCAGGGAUUUGGGGACUAAGGUAUUGAAAAAAUAGUUGAGACUCCAGAACUCUUGAAUGUUCUGAGUGUGAAGGAUAGGAAUGUGUAGUUUUAUUUACCUCUUACAUAGUUCUUAAAAACACAGGAACAUGUGUACUAUAACGUUUUUUGAGCUUUACUUAACUCGAUGAUUUUUGUGAUGAGUCAAUUUGAGAAAUUUCUUCAGAAGGAAUAGAUUGUAUAUGUGUUUUUAUAGUCUAGUAUUUAUCAGGUUGAUGUGAAUGUGUUCUACAGUUGCAGUGGGAGACUAAUACAUGAGUGUUUUGUUGCAGGUCAACUGCAUGGUAUUGUGUUACUCAGGCUAGCCUUGUUGAGAACCAAGCUUCCCUAUUCAGGAAGCAAAAGGUGUGUUGAGUUCUCUUGAACGUUUGCUAUGUUAUGCAACGUUUUGUACUGAAUGACACGUUUCCCCAAAAUGUUCUUGAACAGACUUCGAGGUACGUUUGGUGGGUGUGGCGAGGUGUGGCUUGAAGCAAUGAGUAACAUAUUUUUAUUUUUAAAGGGCAGUGGACAUGCUGACAGCGUUCUCCAACCCACAACCUAACCCCUCCCCAUUUUUCAACUGGUUGUUCGGUACAGCACCGUUUACCUUCAAUUGAACCGUUUCAGAACGUAAAAACAUACUGAACGCAGCCCUGGUGUAGUUCAUGACAGAAAGUAGCUACAAGUGGGUGGAAACCAUUGAUGCCUCGCAACACGUCACACCAAUCAAUUGCCUUGCUUUGGAGGAGCACUAAAGGUGCCCACUAGUGCCGUAGGAGGAACAGUGUGAGGAUGCCCAGGAAAUCGCUGAUGUAUAACAUGUACACACACCAUAACAAAAUGUAUUUAGUAGAGCAGUUGUAAUGCCUUCAUCAACUUGUGAAGAACAUUACACGCAGCUUCCCUUUUAGGGGCAUGUGGGGGAGGUUUCUUGAAAUAUAACAUCCAAUCAAAAUGUAGCCGCUGGAACCCAGCAGACCAUUCUAACUGUUUUGGCUAAUACAAAAUUCUCCAGACCUCCAAAGGAGGCAUGACAACAAUGUGAUUUUGGAGGUAUGGCUACAUGAGACUAGUACAAGCCUUUCUCAUAUCAAAACAGACAAACUAUAAGAAAUAAUAUAUGAAUAUUUUGUGUUUUUAAUAAAUGUACCUUGAGGCCCAUYAUUGGUUUUUGACUGUGUUCUCUUCAGGUUGAAAUCAUUACUAAUAAAUCCUAAAUAAUCUG